UACGUAGGGUCCAAGCGUUAUCCGGAAUCACUGGGCGUAAAGCGUGCGUAGGUGGCGUGUUAAGUGUGAUGUUAAAUCGUGGGGCUCAACCCUGUCGGUGCAUCACAUACUGGCAUGCUAGAGGACAGCAGAGGCAAGUGGAAUUGGUAGUGUAGCAGUGAAAUGCGUAGAUAUCACCAGGAACACCAAUGGCGAAGGCAGCUUGCUGGGCUACUCCUGACACUGAGGUACGAAAGCGUGGGGAGCGAACAGG
rnacentral:rRNA from 1 species